AAGAGAGGGGAAAGUAUCUUUGUGGGACUGGAGUCAGCUUGAGCUUGGAGUUCUUGAAACAGAAGUGUGAUGACCCAGCCACAAGGAAGCUGAGAGAGAAACUGCUAAGCAAGGAAAAGCUUACAGGUUCCCAGAAAGAUCUGCUCCUACCAGUCAGUGCUAGUGGCACAGUCCCAGAAUCAGAGCUUGAUGGUCUAGAGGCAUCCAUGGAGUCCUAAGUGGCCUCAUCCUUGUCAGCCAUGCAAGAAUUGGUGGCCCAGUCCAGGAUGCUUAGUGGACAUGGGUUGCAGUGGUUGCCCUCUCAUGGGAUGUCUGACUGCUGGCCUGAGGGCAUGAAGCUGCAUGUCAUGGUGACCAGGGUCUGGGUCAUGUCCAGUUCUGCUACAUCCUUUGAACAUGGGGAACCAGAACUGCGUGGGAUCUACCAUGGAUUUAUAAAGUGGGGCUGAAGAUUGGGCUGAUGUGGAUAGAGAAUUACCCACACUAAUUCUAGAACUUCUUUCUUCAGUAGUAAUAGUUAAUGUAGAGCCUGUCAUCAAGUAUUUGUAUCUAAGCCUUCUGUACAUCACUUGUCAAUAUUGAACCUUAUCUAUCAUCUUUUUUGCCCAUUCACUCAAUAUUACAAGAUGCUUCUGCUGUUCUUCACAGUCAGGCUUUUUUUUUUUUUUUUUUUUUUUUUUUUUUGCCAACCUGAAUCAUUUGGUCUCAUCCACAAACUUGGCCAUUUGUUGCUCAUCCCUCUUUCAAAAAAAUUAUGAAUAUGAACAUUGGGCACAGGCCUAAUACUGACCCUUUGAGGACCCUACUGCUUAUCUACCUCCGCUAUGAGAACUGACCAUUUAUAUCCAUACUUUGUUUCCUGCCUUAAUUUUAUUAAGAGCCUUUGGUGCAGAAUUUUCUCUAUAUCUUGUUUUGAAAGUCCAGAUACAUUAUAGCAACUGGAUCACCCUGAUCAACACAUGCUUGUUGAUGCCCUGAAAGUACUUAGUAGAUUGGUGAAGUAUAAUCUCCCUUUAUAAAAGCCAUGGUUUCCCCACAAAUCCUGUUAAUCCAUGUGACAGAAAAUGCUUUUGUUUUUCUUUUUUUUAAUUCUUGUAAUUUUUCAGGAUCAAAAGUUAGAUUCACUGGUCUGAAGUUCCCUAGAUUCCCUCUGGAGCCCUUUAUAAAGACUGUCAUUGCAUUGGCUACUCUACAGUCCUCUGGUACAGAGGCUGCUUUUGGUGAGAGAUAUAUGUGUCAGUUGAGCUGCAAACUCAAGUCUGAACUACUUCAGCAUGCUUAGGUGAAUACCAUCCUGUCUGGUGAUUUGCCACUAUUUAGUUUAUCAAUUUCCUGUAUGAGAUCUUCUGUUAACACUUCAUUUGGAGUCAGAUCUACUGAUUUGUCCACUGAAGGAAGUGACACUGUAUAGGA